UUGAAAAGCAAGACGUGUCUAGGAGGGAGGCACCAGGGAACUUCCCUCCCUCGCUUGAGCACAGUCCAAGAUGAAAGUUUCUGGGUUGUUUCCCUUCGCUUCCUCUCACCCUCGCUCGCCCUCGGAGCCGCAGAGCCAGCAAUUGUGCAAGAAGAGCCGGGUGUGCAGGGCGCGUAUCACCAAGCGCAUGGUACGAGCCGCCGACUCUGGUGAUUAAUUAUCAGUUGCCGCUGGCCUCACACUAACACGUCGGCUUUCCGGGCAGAGCCAGCACACCCAGCCGCCGGCAGCGCGGCCCGGACCGAGCAGCGGCUCUGGGGAGGACGCCGCGGCUGCGCCCGAGUUUACACCUUCUCCAGAUGGCUCCUGGCAACCUUGGCUGGGCAUUUCAACAUAUAGGAAACUCAGCCAGAACAGCCUGAAGAUUUCAGGGGACAAGAUCAUGGUCCAAAUUGCAAUCCAGGGUACUCCGAGGUUUAAGUUAUCAACUGAACUUUGAUGGCCACCAAAAUCCCUACCUUCAGCUUAGACUGCUCUUCUACACUGCAAAUGUACUCAACUGUCUACCUGUCAUUUCCAAGAGAAUGCCUAACAGGAACUUCAAAAGGAACUUCCACAAGUGCUGCCCUAGGACUCCUCAAAUUUGCUCCUUCUCCAGAAUUGAGCUUAUUAAAUAGCACCAUUGACCACUGAGUCCUUGGAAAAUAAUUUUUUUCCAUUUACAAAGUCCAAAGGGAUGGACUAUUUUAUCUUUUCCCAUUUUCUUAAGAGCAUUUUCUUGGAGCUAUAGUGAAUCUCAGUCUUUACAUUAACCAUUAGAACAGAGGUAAAUCUGUAGGGAUUAAGUCCACUCUCCAGUUUUCAUUGCAGAGAUAUCUCCAAGGUCACAUGCCAGAUCACCUCAAUAUGUAAAAACAAACCACUAGAAUUAGCUCAAGUGUUUCUCAACUGUGAGAUUUUGUCCCAACUUUAUAGUCACUUUGUGUUAUCCUACAUGCAUGUAAAUCUGUUAAUGUCUACUCAAUAAUAAAUUGUGUUCUUUCUCUCUCUUGUAAGUCAAUAAGAAGGUGUCCUUUUUGUUGGCAGGAUUAUUUUAGUUCCAUAACAAUCUCUCCCCACCCCCUCUGAAAACUCACAUGCAAUCUCCAAAUGGCUUCUAGUUUAUCUCCUAAAGAAUCUCUGGAUCCAUCUACUCUCCAUCCCCAUGUCUACCACCCUAGAACAGACUACAUCUUUUGAUAGUUAAAAUAGACUCCAACCUCAGCUUCUCUUGAAUUUACUUUUUCUCCCAUCCAAACCAUUCUCCUCCAAAUUAUAGCUGGUUUUUCCAAAAUCCUUUAACAGGACCCUACAAGAUCUGACAUCUGCCAACCUGUGCAUCUCUAUCUUUUGACCCUUCACAAUGACCCAGAUUUUCUGUGUGCCCCAGCCAUUCUCUCAUUGCUUUAAUCCCUUUCCUUUUCUCCUUCCUGAACCUUCAGAGAUGCCCUCAGAGACAGUUUCUUUACCUGGACUAGAGUAGGUUAUUAUCUCUUCCUACAGCACCCUGUCCUUAUUCUCAGCACUUGUAAUUAUUUAAGGUCUAACUUCCCUAUGGGUCAACAAGCACUAUCAUAGCAGACCUAUAUUCCCAGUGCAGCUACAACAAAUAUUUCUGACUGAAUAUCCUAACGUAUUAGCCAGUGAAAGUAGAGAAGCAGCUUAAAAGCAAUUAAGAAGUAUGUAGGUCGGGGUGCCUGGGUGGUUCAGUCAGUUAAGCGUCUCUUGAUUUCAGCUCAAGCUGUGAUCUCAUGCCCCCACAUUGGGCUCUGCACGGACAGCAAGAGCUUGCUUGGGA